rnacentral:rRNA from 1 species
AUGGUGGAAGAUGUGUUCCCAAAAAGCCAAGGAGGUAUGGGUUUCAGAGAUAUACAUUGUUUCAACCUGGCUUUGUUAGCCAAACAAGCGUGGCGUAUGCUUGAUAACCCCGAAUCCUUACGUGCUUCUAUCUUGAGAGCUAAAUACUUCCCGGAAGGUGAUUUAAUGAACACUAGCCUUAAAAAAGGUUCCUCUUUUACUUGGCAAAAUAUUAUGGCGGGAGUGAAUUCUCUAAAAAAUGGCUACAUCUGGAGAGUUGAAAAUGGACAAAAUAUUGAUAUUUCGAGAGAUGCAUUGAUCCUGAAAUGUGCGAAUAGGAAAAUCAUUACUCCUAGGGGGCAACUUCUAUCAAAGGUUUCUGAGCUUAUUGAUCCGGUCACGAGCUCUUGGGGUGAAGAUUUGGUGAGACAAACUUUGUGGCCAAUUGAUGCUCAAAGGGUGCUCACGAUUCCCCUUCCAAUGCAUAAUAUGUCGGAUUUCAUUACUUGGAGGUACACAAAAGGUCUUUUCAUUAUACGAUCAACUUAUUUGGAGGAAUGGAACAAAUAACAUGGGACAAAAUUGCAACAUUCAAAUAGUAUAACCAAUGUUAAUCCUAUUUGGGGUAAGAUUUGGAAAUUAUCUUGCCCGAAAAAGGUAAAUUUUUUCAUUUGACAUACUUUGCAUGGAACCCUUCCAUGUCGGGUUACGCUUGCUAAUAGACACAUGAAAGUUUCGCCCACUUGCCCAUCAUGCUUGAAUGGGCCAGAAGAUACAAAACACAUCUUGUUUCUGUUCCAUAAGGCGACAGAGGUUUGCGGCAAGCUAGGAUUGCACAAGGUGAUCAAUACAGCUUGUGUAGUUGAUCAUGCGGGAGAUGCGGUACUUGAUUUCUUACUUCUUAGAGCAACUCCAACCGGGCGACCCAAACGGACGUGCCAUUUGUCGGCUCUUUGUCCGUUUGGGUUGCCCAACGUACACCCAUGUACACUUUCGUGUUUGGGUCGGCGCUUGCGUCCAAUGCUGGCCCGACCCAUUUUCUAG